rnacentral:rRNA from 1 species
UACGUAGGGUGCGAGCGUUGUCCGGAAUUAUUGGGCGUAAAGGGCUCGUAGGCGGUCUGUCGCGUCGGGAGUGAAAACUCAGGGCUUAACCCUGAGCCUGCUUCCGAUACGGACAGACUAGAGGUAUGCAGGGGAGAACGGAAUUCCUGGUGUAGCGGUGGAAUGCGCAGAUAUCAGGAGGAACACCGGUGGCGAAGGCGGAUCUCCUGGGCCAUAACUGACGCUGAGGAGCGAAAGCAUGGGGAGCGAACAGG